rnacentral:lncRNA from 1 species
AUUCGGAGAACGCAUGAGUUUCAAAAAAAAUGCAUAAGUUGCUAAUACUUGGCGAUAAGGAAAUAAAAUUAUUUCUUAGGUCUCAUAAAAAAAAUGGAACCGAAUUAGUUGUCGAUAUUGUUUAGAUUGGAGAAAAAUUGGGUCGAAACCUGAAUAAUCUAGAUCAAUAAAAAAAAUGUUUUUUUCGAAUGAAAAUAAAAAAAAUGUUACGUAGUUGAAACAUUGAAUAUUUCCAGCAAGUUGAUGAAUUUGCUAGAAAAGUUGAUGAAUUUGCUAACUCCACGACUCGAUUGGUCCUUAUGUCUUAAGGAAACAAUUCAGAUCAUGGCAAUUCCUCUCUUUCCUUUUUCGAUUGUUACUCUGUAGAACCCACUUUGCAAUUAUUUCAUGCAUGCAUUUUUCUUUAACGUUUCUUUUUCUUUUCCUCGUCUACAAAAAUAAUAUAAAAUAAAGUGAACAUUUAUCGACAACUUGGACGGAAUAGUACAUGGUUUUAAAAAAAGAAAAUAAAACUGAUUUGAAAUCAGAAGAUGAUAA